GAGGGUAUAGCUCAGUGGUAGAGCGCAUGCUUAGCAUGCACGAGGUCCUGGGUUCAAUCCCCGGUACCUCCA
rnacentral:tRNA from 1 species